GAUGAACGCUAGCGGCAGGCUUAAUACAUGCAAGUCGAGGGGUAGCAAGAUUGUAGCAAUACAAUUGUUGACGACCGGCAAACGGGUGCGGAACACGUACACAACCUUCCUACAAGUGGGGAAUAGCCCAGAGAAAUUUGGAUUAAUACCCCGUAACAUAGCGAUGUGGCAUCACAUUGCUAUUAUAGCUUCGGCGCUUGUUGCUGGGUGUGCGGCUGAUUAGAUAGUUGGCGGGGUACCGGCCCACCAAGUCUACGAUCAGUAGCUGAUGUGAGAGCAUGAUCAGCCACACGGGCACUGAGACACGGGCCCGACUCCUACGGGAGGCAGCAGUAAGGAAUAUUGGACAAUGGACGCAAGUCUGAUCCAGCCAUGCCGCGUGAAGGAUUAAGGUCCUCUGGAUUGUAAACUUCUUUUAUAAGGGACGAAAAAAGGUCUUUCUAGAUCGUCUGACGGUACCUUAUGAAUAAGCACCGGCUAACUCCGUGCCAGCAGCCGCGGUAAUAC
rnacentral:rRNA from 1 species